rnacentral:rRNA from 1 species
AAAAGAAGAUCAAGAAGAGCUUCAGAAUGAAGCUUUCUUGAUGGAGGGGAGCGGCAGACGGGUGAGUAACACGUGGGAACAUACCCAUCUCUGCGGAACAACUCCGGGAAACUGGAGCUAAUACCGCAUACGCCCUCCGGGGGAAAGAUUUAUCGGAGAUGGAUUGGCCCGCGUUGGAUUAGCUAGUUGGUGGGGUAAAGCCCUACCAGGGCGACGAUCCAUAGCUGGUCUGAGAGGAUGAUCAGCCACAUUGGGACUGAGACACGGCCCAAACUCCUACGGGAGGCAGCAGUGGGUAAUAUUGGACAAUGGGCGCAAGCCUGAUCCAGCCAUGCCGCGUGAGUGAUGAAGGCCUUAGGGUUGUAAAGCUCUUUCACCGAUGAAGAUAAUGACGGUAGUCGGAGAAGAAGCCCCGGCUAACUUCGUGCCAGCAGCCGCGGUAA